GACGAACGCUGGCGGCGUGCUUAACACAUGCAAGUCGAACGGCAAGGCCCUGCUUUUGUGGGGUGCUCGAGUGGCGAACGGGUGAGUAACACGUGAGUAACCUGCCCUUGACUUUGGGAUAACUUCAGGAAACUGGGGCUAAUACCGGAUAGGAGCUCCUGCUGCAUGGUGGGGGUUGGAAAGUUUCGGCGGUUGGGGAUGGACUCGCGGCUUAUCAGCUUGUUGGUGGGGUAGUGGCUUACCAAGGCUUUGACGGGUAGCCGGCCUGAGAGGGUGACCGGCCACAUUGGGACUGAGAGACGGCCCAGACUCCUACGGGAGGCAGCAGUGGGGAAUAUUGCACAAUGGGCGGAAGCCUGAUGCAGCAACGCCGCGUGCGGGAUGACGGCCUUCGGGUUGUAAACCUCUUUCGCCUGUGACGAAGCGUGAGUGACGGUAAUGGGUAAAGAAGCACCGGCUAACUACGUG
rnacentral:rRNA from 1 species